UACGUAGGGUGCAAGCGUUUAAUCGGAAUUACUGGGCGUAAAGCGUGCGCAGGCGGUUUUGUAAGUCUGUCGUGAAAUCCCCCGGGCUCAACCUGGGAAUUGCGAUGGAGACUGCAAGGCUAGAAUCUGGCAGAGGGGGGGUAGAAUUCCACGUGUAGCAGUGAAAUGCGUAGAGAUGUGGAGGAACACCGAUGGCGAAGGCAGCCCCCCUGGGUCAACACUGACGCUCAUGCACGAAAGCGUGGGGAGCAAACAGG
rnacentral:rRNA from 1 species